AAUAGAACCCUGGUAGUCCACGCCGUAAACGAUGGAUGCUAGCCGUUGUCGGGUUUACUCGUCAGUGGCGCAGCUAACGCAUUAAGCAUCCCGCCUGGGGAGUACGGUCGCAAGAUUAAAACUCAAAGGGAUUGACGGGGGCCCGCACAAGCGGUGGAGCAUGUGGUUCAAUUCGAAGCAACGCGAAGAACCUUACCAGCCUUUGACAUCCCGGUCGCGGGCACCAGAGAUGGAGCCCUUCAGUUCGGCUGGACCGGAGACAGGUGCUGCAUGGCUGUCGUCAGCUCGUGUCGUGAGAUGUUGGGUUAAGUCCCGCAACGAGCGCAACCCUCGCCCUUAGUUGCCAUCAUUUAGUUGGGCACUCUAAGGGGACUGCCGGUGAUAAGCCGCGAGGAAGGUGGGGAUGACGUCAAGUCCUCAUGGCCCUUACAGGCUGGGCUACACACGUGCUACAAUGGCGGUGACAAUGGGAUGCAAUGGGGAGACCCUGCGCAAAUCUCAAAAAGCCGUCUCAGUUCGGAGUUG
rnacentral:rRNA from 1 species